AAAAGCUUUCUUUAAUUGAAUAAUUGAAUUUAAUUUUUUAGUGCAAAAGCAAAAAUAAAAAUUAGGGACAAGAAGACCCUAUGAAUUUUUAUUAAAUUUUAUAAAACUUUAUAUAAAAUUUAAUUUAAUUGGGGUGAUGGAAAAAGAAUAAAUAUCUUUUUUUUAAAAAAAAAUUGGUUCCGUUUUUAGCGAUUAAAUGAAAAAAAUACUCUAGGGAUAACAGCGUAAUAAUUUUGGAUAGUUCAUAUAGAUAAAAUAGUUUGCGACCUCGAUGUUGGAUUAGGAUUCUUUUUUGGUGAAGAAGUUAAAAAAAGAAGUUUGUUCAACUUAUAAUUUCCUACUUGAUCUGAGUUCAGACCGG
rnacentral:rRNA from 1 species